GGGGAAGAGGCUGAGAGGAAGAAAUGGGAAGCCAGAGGGAGGGAAACACCGAGGUGGCGGUAAGGGAGAUCUGCCCAUGCUCAGGGGUCACUGGUCGCCACCUUUGUCUCUCGGAGCCAGUGUCCUCACUACACCGCAGGCACACUGGAGCAUGGUGCUCAACCCCGAUGCAGCUGCUCAGCAUGUUCUCAUCCUUCUUCUCCCAUCCUGCUCCCCUCCCCUUCCCCAGGCAGGCAGGGACUCUUGAGAAGUAGAUUCUAGAACUCUAACACAGACUUCUCUGUGGCAGGGACAGGGAAAAAUAGCGAUGAGAUACAGAGUUCCAUCUAGUUAUCACCUCGCCUUGUCCCCAUUUUACAGUUGAGGAAGCUGAGCUUUAAGAUGAUUAAGUGAUAGGCCCAUGUCUUUUGGCUACGCUGGGAUUUGAAUCUAGAGGGGCCUGAAGCCUCAGCCCUAUUUCCUUCCUCUUCUCUGUCCUCUCCAGUCCGGGCCAGCCUCCAAGCCUUUGCUCAUGUCUCUCUGCUCUUCCAGACUGGCCCUCACUCUCCUAACACAGUCUGUGGUGGGUCCCACCUCCUCCCAUCGCCCCACAGACACAUUCAGGACUCCCUUUAGCCACCCAGAAAAAGGUUUCUGCUUUAGGCCCAGGGCCUUAGAGGCACAGGAAACCCAUAAAUACAAACACAUUUGCAUGAAAACCCAGGCAUCUGUGUCUGCAGCUAACAGCUCAGUUAGCUUCCGGGAUAGAGCUUCCAGAAGUGGGAGCAGCGGCCACCAGCGUUCCUGGGACAAAUGUGUCCCGACAGCCAGGUCAAGAGAGACAGAGCAUGAGCGGGAGAGGAGCAAACACAAAAUCCAAAGCAGACUCCAGGCUCCGAGCUGUUAGCACAGAGCCCGAUGCGGGGCUCAAACCCACGAACUGUGAGAUCAUGACCUGAACUAAAGUUGGACGCUUAACAGACUGAGCCACCCAGGCGCCCCUAGCCAAUUAUUUUAAAAUUGGACAAUUUGACAUAAAAACCCAGAUUUCUGGCUUCUUUUGAAAACUGGCAGAGCAAACAGCCUUGGCCCCAUUUCCCGGGAGGUCCACUCUUGGUACUGAAGCCCCUCAGACAGCUCGCCAGAGGCCCCAUAAUUUCCCACUGACGGCCCUGCUGACCUACACACCUGCCCUGUGUUUUCUAGUGCAGAGAAAUAAAUCGGCCCCUCUUUCUAGCAAAA